GGCUGGGUAGCUCAGUUGGUAGAGCAGCGGACUGAAAAUCCGCGUGUCGCCGGUUCAAUUCCGGCCCCAGCCA
rnacentral:tRNA from 1 species